rnacentral:tRNA from 1 species
GUUAAGAAAGUUGAAGUGGUUAACAUAGAGCCUAAAACUCUUGGGAUAGAGGUUCGACUCCUCUUCUUAACU